UACAGAGGGUGCAAGCGUUAAUCGGAUUUACUGGGCGUACAGGGAGCGUAGGCGGUUCGGUAAGCCCUCUGUGAAAUCUCCAGGCUUAACCUGGAAAAGUCGGGGGGGACUGCUGGGCUAGAGGACGGGAGAGGAGCGCGGAAUUCCCGGUGUAGCGGUGAAAUGCGUAGAGAUCGGGAGGAAGGCCGGUGGCGAAGGCGGCGCUCUGGAACGUUUCUGACGCUGAGGAUCGAAAGCGUGGGGAGCAAACAGG
rnacentral:rRNA from 1 species